UGGGCUUAACAGAGGAUAGACGUUCCAGUGGGUCCUCAGAAAGUUUUGAUCUCGGCGGACUUGACGGAUUGAAAGCUCUUUUCUCACAGAUGUUCCCAGGUGUGCCUACUACCAUGUUAGAUAGCUUACUCAGUAAAGCAGGGGACAUGGGAGGAUCAGGGUCUGGCAGUAAUAGUAAAAGAUCCAGUGGUUCCGGAGAAGGUUUUGAUCUUGGCGAACUUGACGAUUGAAAGCUCUUUCUCACAGAUGUUCCCAGGUGUGCCUACUACCAUGUUAGAUAGCUUACUCAGUAAAGUAGGGGACAUGGGAGGAUCAGGGUCUGGCAGUAGUAGGAAAAGAUCCAGUGGUUCCGGAGAAAGUUUUUUGAAAGGACUCCUGGCAAAAUUCUUUGGAUCUGGCAGUUUCAGCAAACGAUCCAGUAGUUCCGAAGAGGAUUUCGACGCAUGAAAGCUCUGUUGUCACAGAUGGAUCCAGACGUGCUCUCUUUACUGUUGGCGGCAGCAGGCCAGAAGAAGUAAUUAACAUUGCCACAGAUGACCAGAGCUUGAUUAAACGUGAAGCGUUCAUAUGAGCAAACUGUUAACGAGUGUCCUCAAAUCAGGACAGAAGAAAGCUUCGUUGCAACACGAUUUAACGGCUUAUGUUGUAUUUCUUUGAACUGUUAAUAAAAUCGUUGUAUAAAAUCAA